UCAAAACAACAAACUCUUCCCCUCUCUAGUCUCUGCUUAUCAAAUCGUCACUCUCUGUCUCUCUAAAACUCAUGCUUGCUCUCUCCGUCAUCUUCUACAAUUCAUAAAACAGAACAAUCCCAACUCUCAACUCUCAAAAUUCUCUGUAACUCACCUCUGCAAAUUACAUCUCAAAACACCAAGCUCAUCUCCCUCGUUCCAAAAUCGUCCCCCGCCUCUCUGUCGGCCAGCGCGCUGCCUCUGUCACGCUCGGCCUCCGUCGCCGAGCAGCCACUGUCCGUCGUUGCCCAGCUCCUCCGUCGGCAGUGCCGUUUCUCACAACCGAUCACGGAGGAGGAAAAUCAUAUCACGGAGGAGGAAAAUCUUUGUAGAAUCUUUAAUUAUCUUUAAAUUAUUGACUUGGUGAGUCAACAGGAAAAUAUUUAAUUAGAUAAAUUUGAUUUUUUUUCCUCUCCUUUA